rnacentral:lncRNA from 1 species
AAUUAGGAUGGACUCGUUUCUAUUCAGACAAGAUGACUUGGGGAUUCUGACUAACUGGCACCCAUCUGAAGGGGCUGCUGGUCUUUCUCAUGUAUAGAAAUCUCAACCACAGCACCAUGGAGAAACCGUAUCCAAGAAAUUCUCCAAGAACAAGAUUUAAGAAGAAGAAAAAAACAAAAAAGACAGGAAGAAAUUACUAAAUGCUGGUAGGUUUCAAGUUGGAAGUUAGGUUUCUUAAUUGUUUUUAAGUCCUGUCAAAUUUGAUCUGAUUUGUUUCUGGCAGAAUGAAAAGAUAUCAAAUUGUGUACAUUGUUGUAGCACAAAAAUUUGAGACACAUACUGGAGGGAUGGUCUAGUGGGGAAAUAUACUUGGAACACAAACCUGACAACCUGAGUCUAAUCCCUAGAACACACAUAAAGAGGAAAGAGAUAACCAGUCUAUAAAGUAGUCUUCUGACCUCUCUGUGUAUCAUGUACAGGCAUACCAAUGCAUGUCAUAUGUGCACACACACAUAUAUCUCCAAUAAUAGUAGUAGUAACAAUAAUAAGCUGUAGGCCCCACACACAUAUGUAGCAGAUGUGCAACUUGGUCUUCAUGCUGGUCUCCCAACAUCUGGAUCAGCGGCUGUCUCUGACUCUGUUUCCUGCCUGUGGCUCUUAUUUCCCUUACUUGGUUGCCUUGCCUGGCCGCAGUUGGAGAGAAUGUGCUUAGUCUUGGAGUGACUCAAUGUGCCAGGGUGGGUUGGUACCCAGGGGGGACCUCCAAGGAGAACCAAGAAGAGUGGAGGGGCUGUGGUCAGGAUGUAAAGUGAAUAAAUAAAUAAAUUCAUGGAGGAAAAAAAAUAAUACUCAUAACAAAUGCAAUUUUAAAGAAUCAGUUUGUAGCAACAGAAGUAGUGUCAUUUUAACAUGAAUUCCUUAAUUAAAGCAUACUACCCAAACAAUUUGGAUUGUUUUUAAUUUUAUAAUUUUUCACGCAAUACUCUUAAAAUAUUUCCCACAAAACUAGGUAAUAUUCUAGAUUCUUGCAUUGAUCUCAGGGUGUCAUUGGACAUUCACACAGCAGGAUCAAUAGUUGUCAGAUGGGGGACCUUAAUUAGUGAACCCCAUGGAUGUGCUCACGGGGUAUCAGAACCACCAUAGGCACAUGAAGUAGAGAACUUAACCAAGAAGAAUGACAGUCAGUUGGUCCAUUAGGAAAUGUAACUAUGCUUUGCCUCCCCUGUGGAUUGCAAAUGGAAUGGGUGUUCAAUAAUUCUUUGAUUCAAAAGUGCCAGAAAUCAUCUUGAAUACGUUCGGUUUCAAACUUAUUAGUUUUAAUUUUUUUUUUGUUUCUCUUUUAUUUUUGAUCUUUCAUGUGAAUAGACAGACAUAAAUAAUAUACAUAUGUAAAUAAUUUAAAUAAUAAGGCCAAAAUACAACUGCUGCUUCUUACUCUCUCUCUGCUGAGCAAGGCUGGGCGUGUCUAUGAGUGUCCUGCCAAGGACAGACUUUUCCAAACAUAAUACGAUCUUGCAAAAUGAAACCAGUUAGAAGAAAAAAACAAACAAAAGGAAUUCUCUAAUGUAAUUGAAUGAAUUUUUCUCAGAGGAAAAGAAUAUUCAUAGGUGGAAAGUCAUGUUUAGGUACCCAUAUCUCCAAUCAUAUUUUUUGUAUAAUAAUAAGCAAAACAAAAUCUGUUUUCCUGAAAUCCUUCUAAUGGCUAGAUUCUUUUUUUAAGUGACAGAGAUUUCCCUCAACUAAAGAACAAACUCAGAGCCCUGUGUGUGAUGACCAGAUCUUGAGGUCUCAGCUACAGUCUAGCCCCACCCCUAGGCUAAAAGCACCUUCUCCUGGUUUGCAGACUGCUGGCCUUCUCCACAGACGUGCGUGUUUCACUGAGGUGCUGCUCGCCUUUUCCUGCACUUCUGUUUCACUUUUCUUAUAUUAUAUUAACAUUCUAUAUAUUAAUAUAUUAUAAUUAUCUUAUAUUAAUUAUUCCAUAUUAUAACCAUAUUUUACUCACUUUGGUCACUGUCCUUUCUCCCAGAAUCUGUGUUACCUGUGAACCCAAGGACCCUUAUGGUCUCUUGAAAAAAGAACUUAAAAAUUGAUUU